ensembl:lncRNA
UAAUAAUAAUAAUAAUAAUAACAGUGUUUGCACAGUGAAAAAAAGGUAAUACACUGACGAAGGAAUGAAUUCACUUUAAAGGAAUGGCUUAUCCAAAAGUGAACAUUUGCUGAAUCCAAGAUGUGGAUGAGUUUGUUUCUUCAUGGGAACAGAUUUGGAGAAAUUCAGCAUUGCAUGAGUUGCUCAUCAGUGGAUCCUCUGCAGUGAAUGGGUGCCGUCAGAAUGAGAGUCCAAACAGCUGAUAAAAACAUCACAAUAAUCCACAAGUAAUCCACACAUGAAAAGUCAUCUCUUCUGAAUCAAGAGAGAAAUAUGCACAAGAUCAAGCACCAUUUAGGCUACAAGCAAAAACAGUUCUGAACUAAUAUGUCAAUCAGUUUUGAUGUGAGAAGACAACAGGGGAUGGACUUUUUUUUUUUUUUUUUUAACUGAAGGAAGAUUUAUUAUGGUUAAGGACUUAAGGUUAAGGUUUAAAGUUAAAAUACCUUAAUGAUGGAUUUGUUUCUUACAGGUACAUAACUGUUCACUUUACAAAAUGUUAACUGAUGGACUGGAGUGGUGUGGAUUACUGUGAUGUUUUUAUCAGCUGUUUGGACUCUCAUUCUGACGGCACCCAUUCACUGCAGAGGAUCCAUUGUGCUGUAUGGAUUGCAUUGUAAAAGGAUCCAUCUGUACUCAGGCUGGAGGAGGAGAGAAGAGGCUCAAGGGAAUGCUCUGCAGCCAUAUGUCCUCCUUACUGGCCCCCAUUAGACCUGACAGGUGAUAUAUGGUGCACACAGGAAAAACAAACUACUCAGCAAAAGCCGGCAGACAUUGAUAAACGAAGGCAUGGUGACACAGAUACUGUGGGCUCAUCGUGGCCGAGCUUGGGGAUUUCUCCUGCAAAAUGCCACUUCAAUUUCUGUCCACAGUAUCCAACCCAAUUAGGGCAGAAGAUUCACAAUGUAGUGUCUAUUUAAACACACAUCAACAUCCCAAAGUCCACUUCCAAGAUGUUUGAUCUAUUUUAUCCCACUAGAUUAUUCCUUUCCAAGGUCAUUUGUAUGCAUGAAAUUAAAAUGAUCUCAAAAUAUAUCUCUCCCUCUCUGCUAGAAUCAUCCACCUUUUUAUCUUGAUCUUGGAGUGGUUAAAUAUCACAAAGACAUGUUCAGGUCACAUUUCAUACCUAUAAAUAAAUAAAUAUUCACAAUAUGCUGUGUAUACA